CGGCCAGCUGCAGCUGAUCCCACGAGUGAAUAUAUGUUAAGCGUGCCCACCAGGAUUUCCACUUGAGUAUCUGAAAUUUUCAGAUCAUCCUUGAUGUAGAUAGCCGCUCCACUCAUUACACCAAUAUCAUAACCAAGUAAGAUAGAAGUCAUGGAAGCCAAGGCUGCACAAGCAAGAGCAAACUUGUUUCUCUUGGGCUUC
rnacentral:misc_RNA from 1 species